AUGUCACAUGAAAUGCCCUCAGAAUCAGAGUUAGAUGAUUUCAGCCAUGACAUUCAGAGUCCUGAGCCUGAACUCCUUUAUUAUAGAGGCCCUGAGGACCAAGAAAGCAUAUUACAUGAAGAUGGAGGAGACACUGAGGAAGUGGCAGUGACGUCAUGGGGCAUGGGAGCAGCUCAGGACUGGCCACAGGCCAACUGCCCGGCUACACCGGUAACAGUGGCCUAUACUCCCUCAGUGCCCACAGUGGCUCCAAGCCAGAAUUUCAGUUAUCAUAACACAGAUAGUGCUGAAGUCAGAAGUGCCUCACAACAUUGUCCUCCAAAUAAUCUGCCAGCAAUAGCAGAGGGGGCCAAAGCAUCCUCUGGAGCAGGGAUGAUGCACGGUCAGAUGAUUGAGACGAACUUCAGUCAGCCGGGACAAGUCGAGCAGAUUGUCCCUCAGGGAUUAAAAGCUUCUGAGGACACAACUGAGCCUCCUAAACAGCAAAACACAAAGAAAGGAUGGUUCAGUGGCUGGUUCAAGUCAAAACCUAAAGUGGUCCAAAAGGAGGCUGCAGAGCAGGGAGGCCCAGCUCACACAGAAUUUUCACCAUCUGCUGACGUCUGUCCUCCUCCCCCGCCUGCCAGUGUCCCUCCUGGCAUGUUUCCACCACAGUCUUCCACUGCUGGGAUUAAUCCAUUCUCAAGGAAAGCAGGCCAGCAGCUGGGUUAGAAACCGUGAGACUCACCUCUGUCACAG
rnacentral:lncRNA from 1 species